rnacentral:rRNA from 1 species
UACGGGGGGAGCGAGCGUUGUUCGGAAUCACUGGGCGUAAAGGGCGUGUAGGCGGUUCGGUAAGUGGGAUGUGAAAUCCUCCGGCUCACCCGGAGACCUGCAUCCCAUACUGCUGAGCUUGAGUACAGGAGAGGGUGGGGGAAUUCCUGGUGUAGCGGUGAAAUGCGUAGAUAUCAGGAGGAACACCGGUGGCGAAGGCGCCCACCUGGCCUGCUACUGACGCUGAGGCGCGAAAGCUAGGGGAGCAAACGGG